CUGAGUUACCGCUCAUCAACCCUUUGUGAACAUACCUUAACUGUUGCUUCGGCGGGUAGGGCGGUCCCCCUAGGGACGCCCUCCCGGCCCGCCCCCCUACCAGCGGGGUGGGCGCCCGCCGGAGGAUACCAAACUCUAUUUUAACGACGUUUCUUCUGAGUGACACAAGCAAAUAAUCA
rnacentral:misc_RNA from 1 species